UACGGGGGGUGCGAGCGUUGUCCGGAAUCACUGGGCGUAAAGGGCGCGUAGGUGGCGUCGUAAGUCUGCGGUGAAAGCCCGGAGCUCAACUCCGGGUCUGCCGCGGAUACUGCGAGGCUUGAGUGCUGUAGAGGGGGGUAGAAUGCCGGGUGUAGCGGUGGAAUGCGUAGAGAUCCGGCAGAAGACCGGUGGCGAAGGCGGCCCCCUGGGCAGUAACUGACACUGAGGCGCGACAGCGUGGGGAGCAAACAGG
rnacentral:rRNA from 1 species